rnacentral:rRNA from 1 species
UCGGGAGCGUCCGGAGGUGCCGUCGGGAUCCGCAUCCUUCGUCGGAGCGGUCCUCUCGGCGCUGGUCUCCGGCGCGACCGACGCAUUUCCCCCCGCACGGCGGACGCCGCAACCGGUCGGGUAGCUGCGAGAGUCGGCCAGGAGGACGGCGGCGGCAGGUGGGCCGGGCUCGCACUCGUGCGGGCUCCGGCUGUUACAGCCCCGCCAGGUCCGUGGCGCGACACCCGACCGAGGUCCAUGUUCCCGAACACGGGAGCGAUCGGCCGUCCCCUGUCUCAGCGGGAGCGCCGGCAGGCCGGAUCCCGGGUCCGGGUGCCACCGCUGGUGGUGGCCCCGCCCGCGGAGCCCGGCCGUUGGCUCGUGUCUUUUCCCGCGGGGGCGCUGAUCCCCUCCAUCCGGAGGUUGGCGGCGAGUAGGUCGGUCACCCACCCGACCCGUCUUGAAACACGGACCAAGGAGUCUAACAUGUGCGCGAGUCGCCGGGUCUUGAACAGGCCCGCAGGCGCAAUGAGAGUGAGGAGCGGGGCGUCUCGCGACGCCCCCGCCGCGUUGGGAUCCUCCGGCCCUCGCGCCGGGGGAGCACCAACGGCCCGUCCCGUCCGGCGUGCCGGUGGGG